CGCGCACCUCUCAACUGGAGUAAGAUGGCGGAUCUUUUGGUGAACAGGCAGGCUGAACAUUUUCUUCUUUUAUCAAGUCAUCCUUACUUUAGGAGCCACUUUGAGCUCUCUUUUUGUUUCAUCACACUCUUUUUAUUUCUCCUGCCUAUUCUCACCCUUUGGCAAUUCCCGUUUUGGUAAAUUUUGCUUCCAGGAGCCAGGGCGCUUGCCCCUCCAUUGCUAUGAAGACAGAAGUGUAUUCACCUGAGUCCUAUAACUAAUGUCUAUCAUCAGAGUUAGUCUCAGUUCAUCAGGACAAGGAUUGGUCUUCGUUCACAUCUAAGAAUCACUCCGAGGAUCAUAAGUGUGCUGUAAUAGCUGUGCAUCAAGUAACUAGCUCUUAAUAGUGACGUCUAGUAUGAAGUAAAACGCUACCAUCAUUGCAUGAUUUUUAAUGUUAAUAUAAAUGUUAAUUACAACAGUUGUCUUUGUUAACGGCCAGACAGUUUAAAAUUAUCGUGUAUGUAUUAUGUAUAAUACU